CGACCACCACAGGUUGAAACACGGGUUCCCGUCCGAUCACCGAAGUUGAUUAACGUCCAGCCUGGUCCGUACCUAGAUGGGUGACCUCUUGGGAAUACCAAAUGCUGUAAG